rnacentral:misc_RNA from 1 species
GUGCAACUUAAAAACUGCAAAAAUUGCAUGUUCAUGGUGUGCACCUGGAAAUACUUUUGGACUAGUCCAUAAGAAGUUUAAGGAUAAUUUAAUUGAAAUCUGAUUUAGAGAUAUGAUUGCAAAAGGUUAGGAUUAUGAGUUGCACAACCUUAGACUCUAUACUCUCAAAUCAGUGAGAUCGUAAUGCCUCCUUUCACACUUCCAGUGGCAGCAUUAUAUAUUGGGUACUGAUUCCAUGCCUUAAUACUCCUAGAAUUAGAAGGCUUGUCUGUCUUUUUGACAGAUCUCUAGUCUUAAUUGGGGAGCAACGAAACAGCAUGAAGUCAAAGCAAUUUGCUACUCUAAGGCUUCAUUUGUUUCAUAAAAAAAUUUUCUUGGAAGACCUUUUUUUUUGUUUUUUACCUUAGUGGGGCACUCCAAAAAAAUUGGUCUGCACAUAUUUUCCUGGUGAAAUGAGAGACUAACUUGAAAUAACUUAUUUUGAAAUGCGAAGUCAUUUUCAUGUACUUGUGAAAUUCAAAUUGGAAGGAACUUACCAAAAACCCAAUAGGCAUUUACUCACGAGUCCAUUGACCACUACUGGUGGUUGUUGGUCACUGUUGGCAGUUGCUUAGCCAACACCAGUGACCAUCAUAAUUUACCCUUGUUUUUGCGUAAUUAUCUUUAUAGUCCUAAACAUUACUAUGGUUUGUUUCUUUGAAAGCAAACUAAUUUUCUUAGAUGUACUGUAAAUUUUGGAGAAUAAUUUAUAGUUUAUUUUCUAUGCUGCGACCAAACGAAGGAAGAUAACUCAUUUCCUCAGAGAAUGUUUUCCAUGAAAUAUUUUCACAAACAAGAUAUUUUCUGCAAACCUGUGUCUAAAAGCCUUCAGUUUCACAAAUUCUGGAUUCUGCAUUGUGUAACCCAGCAAUUGAAUGUGAACACUGUAUCGAUGGCUUAAAGCAUAUCUCAUUUGUGAAGGUGAGGGAUCAAACAGGCUGCCUGACCUGAUAUUUUUCCCUAACAUUAAAACCUUCUAUUUAAAGAGGAAACUGAAUAUAAAAUUUCUCUGAAUAACUCCAAACCAGCCUCCUCUUGGCCGCAUGACCUCAGGGCUGGUGUAGAAUGAGCUGAAACAAAAUGCUGACUGGUCUAUCAAAAGAAACACAGGGAUUAUCAAAAUUUCGGGCUCCAGCUUCAAUUCCUGCAGCUGUUGUUUCAAUUAGCAGGCAAACAUGACAAGUGUAUCUGUGUCUUCUGCUAGAUGUACACAAUACGAGAAUCUAGCAUUCAUGAUUACCAUAUUCUCCAUUUGUCCGUUCAUUUUACUUGUUCCUGAAAUUAUGUGCUUUAAUUUUGGAAUCAUCAUGUUGUACUUUUGUGGUUUAAUCUCCAUUAGAAAUUCUUCAGCCUCUGAUAUGUCAAUUUCCCAUAUUAAAUGUUGGUUCUAUCUUCAUUCCGAUGUAAUUACUUGCUUAAAUGAUUUUUACACAAAUUUGGCUGGCUUCUUUCAUUUGCAUGAAAAUUUUCUCCUUCUGGCACCAAACAAUCCACUCAUUAUCCUCAUGUUUACAUGAUUAAUUAUCAUUAUUUCCUCAUAAUAAACACCAAGAAAGCUUACCAUUCCAAUAAGACAUAUUAUUUUUCCAUUAAAUAGAUUUUUUAAGUUGAAUCCAGUUCUGUUUUUUAAGUAGAUUUUACCAUUUUCAUUGUGUUCAUUUUCAUUGUGUUGCCAGGGAUUAUGAUGGGAAAGUGACUCCUGAGGAGGUUGCAUCUGCUGCUAUGUACCUCAAAGACCACUUGGGCAAGCAGGGUAUCCAAGAACUUAUAAGUAACCUCUCCAAAGAUAGAGAAGGAAAAAUCCUUGUUGAAGAUAUUGUCAAGCUAGGCAGUGAAAUGGAAGAUGAUGAAACCACCGAGGAAGGAAAAGAAAAGCAUAGAGGAUAGCAAGGCGUUUACUGCAUUUUGUGCCAGGAUCUCAAAAAUAAUGGGGGAGGAAGAACAUUGGAAAGAGUGAAAUUUUCUUACUUAAAAGCAAAUAAAACAUGUUUAUACACAACUAGUUGGUACUAGUAUUCUUCAUGUGGGCUGUGGUACAGUGGUAAAUUUCUUAUCAUGAGGACCUGGCUAUCUUAUUACAUAUUGCAAGAAUGUUAUAUGUAUACCAUGGAUGAGGAUAUACGAGUAUCUUGUUGUACUGACUCUCUCCUGCUUUUGAGAUGAAGGGAGCUGUCAUUGAUAUAAUAUAUACAUGUUACAUGGCAACUCUCUGUUACCCUAUGUGAUAUAAUUAGGGUGGCCACUAGUCAAGUCGAAAUAGGC